CACCUAUAGUUUGUGCCGUGGGUAAACUACUAGACACACGAGGCUACCUCGAGUUACUUUCUCUCUUGAUUCCCUCCCCUCUGUUAUACAUAGGGUAGCGGACUUCGGCUUAACUCACGAAGGGACACGGUUCUACGCCGUUGUUGGUCAUCGUGCUCUUUACGCCUCGUUCACGUAUACGUCCGGUAGCGUUGUAAAGGCGUUAUCGAUCCUGCAACAACUCGUGUCCGCCUUUGUGUUCUAUGCUGUUGUAGGCCGCAAUCCCUACGUGAAACGGUCGCUCGGUUUCUUGAUUGAUUCGAUAGGAACGUGUCUCGUGGCUUAGGGAUAGACGAUCGUUACGUGUUUCGAAUAGAAAUAGAGAUUAAUUCCAAACGAGGAUCUCUUUACAAGAUCGAUUCGGGGAUUAAAUUUAUCUUUGAAAAUCGAAUCUAACUUUGGGAUAUGAAAGAUCUCGAUGAAUUUUAGUAAAAUGAUGAAAAGUUUCGAUUAGAAAAUUUUUUCAUAAUCGUGUUUUUUUUUUAUUGUCGUUGUAUGUAGAAUAUGAGGUGCCUGUGUUAAUUGAGGGAUAUAAAGUUUCAGAAGGAAGGAUGAGGUUUGAGAUUCAGCUUUUAGAGUUUUUUUUUUAAGGUAAAAUUUUGUUUCUUAUUGCAAUACCUUUGAAAGAGACGUUUUCAGCCGAUAGAUAAAUAAAAUUCUUUUAAAACCGUGUUAUUUAAUAUAUUAUAUCCUUUAAAUUUACAUUUUAUGCAUUUACUAUUUAACCAAAAAAUAUUUCUACUUUUUUUUAUUUUUUUAAUAAAUAAAUACACUUUUGAAAUAUUCUUUAAGAAUAAAUCCACGUAUUUAACGAUGACAUAUAUUACAAAGAAAUGUAAUAUAUGAUGGCUCUAUUGUCGUAAAAAUCUUGGAACGAUAUUUUUCAUUUUAAAAAUUUCUAAAAGUGACAUCUUUUUCCCUUACAUUUGAUUGAAAUAUCGAAAUCUUUAUACCUCAUUGACAAAAAGAUAUUCAUCACGCGAAUGUCUAUACAUUCCGACUCGUAGCCAUUUUUAUCGAAACGUCUUCCAAACAUUAUUUCGAUGAAGCCCAUUUCCCACGAAUCGGAGACUAUUCUAAAUUGGCCAUCCCGGUUGAUUGAACGGGAGAAAAGAGAAGAGACUACGUUCACCCAGCUCCACUUGAGGCGAAACUGCAAAAAUAAAUAGGAGCCGUAAAUAAUUUCUCGGCCGCAGACUUCUUUUGAAAAUAGAAACCUCUUUCGGAUCCUUGCAGUGUAUUACGACCUUUUCGUACGAUGUUUCAAAAAUUGUUAAAUUUCUUUUUAAAAAUUUUAUGCUAACUCGAAAUUAAAUAAAAGAUAAAUACUAAAGCUUGUUCGAGAAAAGAAAGGAAAUUAUUUAAAUUACGAAUUAUUUAAAUACGAAAUUAACAUUGAUAAGAUUAAAGAAUGUUUCGAUUAAAUGAUGAAAUUCUUAGAACCAGCACUUACCUGGUUUGUUCAAUUUACACUGGUCUUCCGAAAGCUAUUGUUUAUUCAAUAGUCAUUAACCAAUACGGGGAAUGAGGCUUCUAAGUAAUACAUAGAACACCUGGAACCCCUAACAAAAGAACGUGUCUCUGAUGAAACCUCAAACCUACAUGGUACGUUCAGUUUAUCAAAUAAACGUGUGCAACGGAAUAUUAAAUAAAGAUGUACUACCCUCUAUGUUCUCCGUGAAACACAUACUGUUUACGUGAAAAACAUAUACUGUUUACUGUAUUACAACUCGGAUCUCAGUAAUUUCGUUCCAUCGUACAUUUGUUAUAUCAAAACGUAGAUAUUAAUAUAUGAAUUAAAAACCAGAGGAAAACUUGAAAGAAAUAUCUUUAUAACAAUAUAUCGACUUAAAAAUAAAUCGCGAUAAUUAACAUUUAAUUAAUAAAUUUUAGAUUUAAAUUUUAAAUUUUGCCUAUUUUUACCAUAUUAUUAUAGAUAUUAAUUCACAUAGAAUUUGAUAUAAAAAUGAUUUUGUACGAAAUUAAAACACGAUACGUGCAUUAAAUCUUCAAAUCCCUAAAAUCGAAUAUGUAUCAAAAAAUCAAUUUACAUGGGAAAGGAAUAAAAAAAGAAAAAUUCGCGAAGGCAAUUCGAAAUGUUCAUCGAGCCAUAACCAAAAGGGGAUGAAGUGAUGUAUGUUCGUCGAAGAGGAAAAGUCGCACACCCUUCGACGCAAAAACAACGAACAACCGAAGUGAAAGGAGGAAACAAACGUCGAGGCAUCAUAUAGUUCGAAUAGUGUGUAUGUGUGUGUGUAUGUGAUACAGACCGCGUAGGUGUGUGAAAAAUGCGAAUUACUAUUGAUCGAAGAGAACGUCUGCCGCGUGUGCACGUAAAAGGAAACGGAGACAGCAGCUGCGAUGACGAUGGGAAACUUUGUCGUCAACCUUCGCUUCGAUACGUUUGACCAGCUUCGUUAUUUCGAUGAAAGCAGAACGACAGCAAACCACGAUCGAGAACCAAGACCACCAUUGUUCCUGAAGUCUUUCAUGUUUUCGAAACUGUGUACUUCGUUGCCCUUAACGCCAUUGUGACGUCAUCUUUACUACACUUCACGCUUCCGCCAACAUUUCAACGUCCCGCGAGAAAUCGAAGCGCGAGAACGAGUCCCAAAAGGGAUGAAACAAUUUUUAUCUCUGGUAACGAGAUUCUCGUUAUUGCAUUUCACUAACGUCUUAACGAUUUGUUUUAGCGUACACAAGAUGGAUGAUGAAAUAUGGCUCUGGUUUCAUUGAAUUUCCUUGGAAUAUUAUUUUAUUCUAUCGUGAAAGAAAUAUUAUUCUGAAUUUUCUUGAGUAUUAUUUCGUUCUACCUUCGAAGAAAAUAUAGUUUCAACGAUAAUAAAUGAUGCGUAGGAUCCUAUUCGUAUAGUUUUUUUCCCCGACUCUUUUCUAUGUCAAAUCAAAAUUGGUAAAGCUCGAACAUACAGCGGUGACAAAAUGAAAUGAGAUGUAUGAAGACUGGAAAACGAGAGAGAGAUUCAUUUUGAUCGCUUAUGACAUUGGGAUAAAAGCGACGAAUAAUUGUUCUCGACGCGUUUGAAAUGGAGUACUCGGAUAAAAACCGAAUCGGAUGAGUAGUCUUUCUAUUGUUCGAAUUCCGUCCUCGAUCCGAUUUCGAGUAUGCAGAUGGGAUCGAAGAAAGAAUAGAGAGUUCGAUGAGAGCAUUCCUUCUUCAAGAAAUUGUCCAAUCCGGAAGUUACUACGAUCCACAUCUUCUUGCAAGCAUCAAAGUAUCAGAAAUUGAUCGAUGUUAUCAAUAACUCGAUUUAAUCGAUUAUCUACCAUAAUGAAUGAAGGCUUCCAAUGUUUAUAAUUAAAAGAAAAAAGAUCGGUCAAUGAAAUUAGUGAUUACUUCUUCCAAAAUCAUUUCUGAUGAUUGAACAUUGUUCAUUCAGGAUCGAUGGUGAAAAAUUAUGUCACCUGAAGGGUCUUCGUUGUCCCUAUAUGUGAAUAAAUUUAAUUUAUAGUUUGAUAAAUUUCAAUAUUCAAAAGAGUAUUAAAAUUCCAUCAUCGAGGAAUUUUUAACUAAUUUGUAAAAGAAAAAAAUGUCAAGCCUAUUUGACGGAAAGUUUGAGAAGGUUAAAGAAUUUCUAGAAUGAAAAGUAACAUCAGAGCACAAGAAGAGGAAUUUCGUAAAUUGAAGAAACCGUAUAAUGGUAUUACAAAGAUGGAAUUUUAAUAAUAAGAGAAAUAACAUAAGAAUUUUCAAGAUAAAUAAAUGAUAAAACAACAAUACUUUCUACGAAAAUAUAAAAGAUUAAUUGUUAGAUUAAAGUAUGCUUAUUGUGAAAGUGGAAUACAAUAUAUAUGACUGAUAGCGUCUAUAUCUAAACUUUAUCUUUAUCAAUAAACGUAGAAAGUUGCAUCUAAA